UAGGUUAAAGGGCCGCGGUAAUUUGACCGUGCGAAGGUAGCAUAAUCAUUAGCCACUUAAUUGGUGGAUGGAAUGAAGGGUUGGAUGAAAAAUAAGCUGUCUUUUUAYUAAAAYUUGAAUUUUACUUUUAAGUGAAAAGGCUUAAAUUUUGUAAAGUGAAGAUAAGACCCUAUAAAACUUUACAUGACCUUAACUAUAAYAACUUUAUAUAGUAGUAAGUGGUGUGGCUAAAUCAUGUUUUGUUGGGGCGACAGGAAUAGAAAAUAUAAUAUCUGUUUUUUUAAUAGGUUAAUAAUGAUUAGUUCAAUGAUCCUUUACUAGAGAUUAAAAGACUAAGUUACUUUAGGGAUAACAGCGUGAUUUUCUUUGAGAGUUCUUAUCGACAAGAGUAGUUGCGACCUCGAUGUUGAAUUAAAAUUUAUCUUCUAAGUGUAGCAGCUUGGGUAGUAAGUCUGUUCGACUUUUAAAUUUUUACAUGAUUUGAGUUCAAACCGGUGUGAGCCAGGU
rnacentral:rRNA from 1 species